UUUUUCAAAUUGUCAUUUGUGCUUCCUAACUUUGCGAGGGACUGCGUGUGCACCUUAACUCGUUCGUUUUUUUAUCUAUUAUACCUUUAUUGGUCCAGUCAAUAAGGCGCGUCAAUACACUCUAAAAUUCACACGUGAAGGUUGUAAUUCUCAUACAGUUGAUAUUUUUAAUUAUUAAUACACUUACUUUUUCCUCUCCUCCAUCUCUCCUUCUCUUCAUCUUUUUUUUUUCUUGCAAUUCUUGAAGCUAUAAAUCUAUGGAGAAGAAACAAUUCUUGCUUUCUCAAUUUGAUUUUUUUUUUUCUUCUCUUUUUCUCUUUCCCUUUCUCUCUCUCUCCAGACUUGUUUUUCCCUUUUUAUCUUUUUAUUUAUCUCUCCAUGAUUGUUUGAUAAUGGGUCUUUGUUUGAAGGAAGAUUUGAUGAGUAAAAAAAUGGAAAAGAAGAUUUGAAGAAGAAAGGAAAAGAGGCCCAUCACCUCCACCAUUGCUGCGCUACACAGGUCAAAACUAGAGAGGAAGAUGGAGAGGCAACGGCGGCAGGUAUGGAUCGAUCAAAAAGUGGAGAGGGAGGAGUCGAAAAUGGAGAAAGAGGAGUCAAUGUUGGCUGGACACAAGUAGAUGAUCAAAAAAAUAAAUAAAUAAAAAUAAAGGGGGAGGGCUGUGCAAAAUCGGGGAGAAGGGAGAAGAUAGAUUUAAGUUGGGGCAGACUCGGGUUGAUUAAGGUCCAAUUUGGCCCAUAUCAUGGAUUUUUCCUUGGUUUUUAAUUGGUUUAUAGAGUUCUAAUGGGUUUAAAUUGGUUUAGCACAUAUAAAUGCCAUGUGAAAUAAAAUAUGUUGACGUGUUUAAAAAAAAUGCCACGUAAAACUGAUUGUAUUUUACACUCAAUUUUAUGACUAAACGGGAUGUAAAAUAUAUAAAAAAAUAAAUUCAGAGGCACGUUAGGUCUCCUACAAAGUUAAAGUUGACAGAUAAUUAAAAUGAAAAAGUUCAGGAGAAUUUUAUGCAUUCCGUCGUAUAAUAUAACAAUGAUGUUAUGUA